rnacentral:rRNA from 1 species
GGACUACUCGGGUUUCUAAUCCCGUUCGCUCCCCUAGCUUUCGCACCUCAGCGUCAGUAACCCUCCAGGACAGUGCCUUCGCCAUUGGUGUUCUUCCGGAUAUCUACGCAUUUCACCACUCCACCCGGAGUUCCCUGUCCCUCUCUGGUCCUCAAGUCGGCCCGUUUCGUUACCACUCUCCCAGUGAAGCCAGGAGCUGUCACUAACGACGCGACCGACCGCCUGCGUGCCCUUUACGCCCAGUAACUCCGGACAACGCUCGCCCCCUACGUAUUACCGCGGCUGCUGGCAC